rnacentral:rRNA from 1 species
GACGAACGCUGGCGGCGUGCCUAAUACAUGCAAGUCGAACGCACAGUUUAUACUGUAGCUUGCUACACCAUAGACUGUGAGUUGCGAACGGGUGAGUAACGCGUAGGUAACCUGUCUGGUAGCGGGGGAUAACUAUUGGUAACGAUAGAUAAUACCGCAUAAUACUGAUUAUUGCAUGAUAAUUGAUUGAAAGUUGCUAUUGCAUCACUACCAGAUGGACCUUCGUUGUAUUAGCUAGUAGGUGAGGUAUCGGCUCAUCUAGGCGGCGAUACGUAGCCGACCGGAUAUGGUGGUCAGCCGCACUGGGACGGUGACACGGCCCAGUCGCCUACGGGAGGCAGCAGUAGGGAAUCGUCGGCAAGGGGCGAGAGUCUGACCAAGCUGCGCCGAGUGAGUAUAGAGGAUUGUCGGAUCGUAGAGCACUGUUGUAAGAGAGGAACGGGUGUGAGAGUGGAAAGUACACACUGUGACGGUAUCGUACCAAGAAGCAACGGCUAACUACGUG